AAUAGAUACCCCGGUAGUCCACGCCGUAAACGAUGAGUGCUAAGUGUUAGGGGGGUUCCACCCCUUAGUGCUGCAGCUAACGCAUUAAGCACUCCGCCUGGGGGGUACGGUCGCAAGACUGAAACUCAAAGGAAUUGACGGGGGCCCGCACAAGCGGUGGAGCAUGUGGUUUAAUUCGAAGCAACGCGAAGAACCUUACCAGGUCUUGACAUCCCGCUGACCGCCAUGGAGACAUGGCCUUCCCUUCGGGGACAGCGGUGACAGGUGGUGCAUGGUUGUCGUCAGCUCGUGUCGUGAGAUGUUGGGUUAAGUCCCGCAACGAGCGCAACCCUUGUCCUUAGUUGCCAUCAUUCAGUUGGGCACUCUAAGGAGACUGCCGUACAAAUACGGAGGAAGGUGGGGAUGACGUCAAAUCAUCAUGCCCCUUAUGACCUGGGCUACACACGUGCUACAAUGGGUGGUACAAAGGGCGGCGAACCCGCGAGGGGAGCGAAUCCCAAAAAGCCACUCUCAGUUCGGAUUGCAGGCUGCAACUCG
rnacentral:rRNA from 1 species